GUUACUUUAUAGUAUUUGACAUACGAGACUUUGUGGUUAAAUGUAAAAGCGGAAGCGGUCCAAGGGACCACAACCGAAGAAGUGCACAGGUGUGGGAUUUUCAACAGCGUGCAGCAAGAGCGCACAGCUGAAGAGGUUAGGCACGAAUGCCAGAAUCUUUAAUGAUCCUUCCGCAGGUUCACCUACGGAAA
rnacentral:misc_RNA from 1 species